GGUUAAAUGGCUGAAUUAGGCGAUAGAUUGUAAAUCUAUUUAUGGGGUAAUAACUUCUUUAACCA
rnacentral:tRNA from 1 species